rnacentral:rRNA from 1 species
GACGAACGCUGGCGGCGUGCCUAAUACAUGCAAGUCGAACGCAGUGGGGACGGGUGAGUAACACGUGGGUAACCUCCCAUCAGAGGGGAUAACACUUGGAAACAGGUGCUAACCCGAUACUGAUGGAUGGACCCGGGGUGUAUUAACUAGAUGGUGAGGUAACGGCUAACCAAGGCCGCGAUGCAUAGCGGACCGGUGAGGGUGAUCGGCCACACUGGGACUUAGACACGGCCCAGACUCCUACGGGAGGCAGCAGUGGGGAAUAUUGCACAAUGGGCGCAAGCCUGAUGCAGCCAUGCCGCGUGUAUGAAGAAGGCCCUAGGGUUGUAAAGUACUUUCAGUCGGGAGGCGUUACCGACAGAAGAAGCACCGGCUAACUCCGUGCCAGCAGCCGCGGUAAUAC